GCUGAUGAUGAACUAAUCCAAUUGUUUGAGAUACGGUGGAUCUGAGACCUUGUUUUACAGGGAGAACCACUUGGUUGAAGCUGUACUUCACUUGAUAUUACUGGAUUUAAUUUGAAGC